rnacentral:rRNA from 2 species
GGAUGCGAUCAUACUAGCACUAAAGCACCGGAUCCCAUCAGAACUCCGAAGUUAUGCGUGCUUGGGCGAGAGUAGUACUAGGAUGGGUGACUUCCUGGGAAGUCCUCGUGUUGCAUUCC